ensembl:lncRNA
CCUCGUUAAUUAGUUUUUUCAGUCGUGUGAGAUUUCCCAUUUUUUAGCCAGUUUGUUGUUAAGCCAACAGAGGAAGCCGCGCUUUUGCUGCUUCCUGCUUCCUACAUGACCAAUAGGAGACCGCGAUGCUGUGACCUCUCACCUGUAGGUCAUAAUCAAGUUGGAGUAAUGGCUUCCUCUGUGAACACGACAAGCCUCGAGCGAUCUACCGGCAUGCGAACCCGGGCAAAAAGGGGGAAUAAUAACGUGGACAAGAUGGAUGUUCGUGUUACCAGUGGUGUGACUGUUGCCCCACCUGCACAGCUGGCAGACAGAAGAAAAUCACAAGAGUUGGAGAUCUGUAAGAUGAGGCUAGAGUGGCAAAAGGAUAAGACUGAUGAGCUCACCAAAGAAAGAGACUAUCUAAAGGAGCAAUUAGCAGCAUCUCUCUCAAAGGAACCCACAAGUUCUGUCCAGGAUUCCAGUGAGGUAUUGAGCAUAUCUUCACCGUCCUCUGAUGGGUCUUUUGAUGAGAGUUCUAACUCCUCCAUGAGCACAACUUCAUCAGAUGAAGACAGGAAGAAGAAGAAGAAGAAGGCAAAAGCAAAAA